UACAGAGGUCUCGAGCGUUUGUUCGGAUUCAUUGGGCGUAAAGGGCGCGUAGGCGGCGGGGUAAGUCUGGUGUGAAAUCUCGGAGCUCAACUCCGAAAUUGCACUGGAUACUGCUCUGCUAGAGGGCUGGAGAGGAGAUCGGAAUUCACGGGUGUAGCAGUGAAAUGCGCAGAUAUCAGGAGGAACACCGGUGGCGAAGGCGGUUCUCUGGGGACGGUACUGACGCUGAGACGCGAAAGCGUGGGGAGCGAACAGG
rnacentral:rRNA from 1 species